rnacentral:rRNA from 1 species
AUAGAGGUGGAUAUAUUUCACUUCUAAUUGGAAUGAGUACAAUCUAAACCCCUUAACGAGGAACAAUUGGAGGGCAAGUCUGGUGCCAGCAGCCGCGGUAAUUCCAGCUCCAAUAGCGUAUAUUAAAGUUGUUGCAGUUAAAAAGCUCGUAGUCGGAUUGUGGUGGUUGGAUGAAUGGAGUCUCCAGGAAUGGAUGUACUUCUUUGUCUACUACUUUUUGAGAGGCCGUCAACGAACUGCAAUUAACUUUGUGGUUCGACCUGAUCCUCUCCUUUUACUUUGAAAAAAUUAGAGUGUUUAAAGCAGGCUUUUAUUAGCCCUGAAUAUUAUAGCAUGGGAUAAUAGAAUAGGACUCUUUGACUAUUUUGUUGGUUUCCAGUCUUAGGGUAAUGAUCAAUAGAGAUAGUUGGGGUGAUUGGUAUUUCAUUGUCAGAGGUGAAAUUCUUGGAUUUAUGAAAGACCAACUAAUGCGAAAGCAUUUCACAAGGAUGUUUUCAUUGAUCAAGAACGAAAGUUUGGGGAUCGAAUACGAUCAGAGACCGUAGUAGUCCACACUAUAAACGAUGCCGAUCAAGGGUGAGGAGUCGACCUAAAAUCAUGUCUCUCUUUGGACUUUGUGAGAAAUCAUUGAAUUUCUGGGUUCCGGGGGGAGUAUGGUCGCAAGGCUGAAACUUAAAGGAAUUGACGGAAGGGCACACCAGGAGUGGAGCCUGCGGCUUAAUUUGACCCAACACGGGGAAACUCACCAGGUCCAGACACAGGAAGGAUUGACAGAUCGAGAGCUCUUUCUUGAUUCUGUGGGUGGUGGUGCAUGGCCGUUCUUAGUUCGUGAGGUGACCCGUCUGGUUAAUUCCGAUAACGAACGAGACCUCAACCUGCUAAAUAGUAAAAGAGAUGUGCAUAAAUGGGUGAAUAUUGAGUAGUGGUGGGACUACGGUUCUAUCCUAUUCAAUUGGAUCCUUUGCAUCCAUCUUCUUCUUUCUUCUUAGAGGGACUAUUUGUCGUUUAGCGAAUGGAAGUUUGAGGCAAUAACAGGUCUGUGAUGCCCUUAGAUGUCCUGGGCCGCACGCGCGCUACAAUGGCUGGAAACAACGAGUAGGAAACACCCUUUUCUGGAAAGAAUGGGUAAUCUUACAAAUCCAGCCGUGAUGGGGAUAGAUCAUUGUAAUUAUUGAUCUUCAACGAGGAAUUCCUAGUAUAGGUAGUUCAUCAGACUGCCUAGAUUACGUCCCUGCCCUUUGUACACACCGCCCGUCGCUCCUACUGAUGAAUGAACCGAUCAAACCUCCGGAUUUGAUUGUAAACUUUAGAAAUAAAGAACAAUUGGAAAAGUUGGUUGAAUCUUUUCAU